rnacentral:misc_RNA from 1 species
GAAAUGCGAUAAGUAAUGUGAAUUGCAGAAUUCAGUGAAUCAUCGAAUCUUUGAACGCACAUUGCGCCCGCCAGUAUUCUGGCGGGCAUGUCUGUUCGAGCGUCAUUUCAACCAUCAAGCCCCGGGCUUGUGUUGGGGACCUGCGGCUGCCGCAGGCCCUGAAAAACAGUGGCGGGCUCGCUGUCACACCGAGCGUAGUAGAUUCUCAUCUCGCUCAGGGCGUGCUGCGGGUUCCGGCCGUAAAACAGCCUUAUUUUACCCAAGGUUGACCUCGGAUCAGGUAGGAAGACCCGCUGAACUUAAGC